rnacentral:sRNA from 1 species
ACAUACCACGCGUCCACUGCGGUUCUGAGCGCGCCGUCCGCGCUCACCCGACGGUUGUUCGCUACGUUUUGUUGGCC